AUUAGUAAAAUUUACCCAAAAAAUCGGUGAAAUUUACUGAUGUUCUGAAGAAAUCGAUUCUACCUAUAUUUGAGUAAUCGCAGUCACCCAUAUUUGGGUGAAAAAAUGAAAAUAAAUAAAUAAACAAAACCGAACUGAUGGCCGCCUCGUCAAUGUCGUGGUCGACGCAAGUUUAUAAAUUUUCCUUUUUUUUCAUUGUUCGAGCAGCCAAAGUCGGUAUCCAUUGAUUUGGGUACCUAGUUCCGAGUGUUCUUCAUAUGAGGAUGGAACCUCGGUUGGAACUGUACGACUAUCUCCAGUUCCGGCGAAAAGCACGAUAUCGACCUCCUUGCAUACGGCAAAGAACGAAACUAGUUCCCGAACCAUCGGUGGAGAUUUUGUUGUGAGCCCCUGACCCCAAACGGUUUACCUUAUUCUUCAGAAGUGCCAGUGUUUCGGACUGUUUUGCAACAGUUUCAGUUAGCUCUAGUGAUGCAGAGUAAUCGUGAGAAAACGAGAUCGGUAUUACAGCCAUACAAUUCGGAGGACAUCCGCUGGAAACAAUGACGACACCCAACACAGAAUUCCCAAGUUACUAGAAAAUCCAUUGGACGCAAAUAGAUUUCUGGACAACUCCAACAGAAAGAACUUGACGAUAUUAUUUCCAACAUGCCGUCUCGUCUUGUCUUGGUGUUUCCGAUCAUCAUUUUGGAAGUGCCAUCAUGGCAACGACAACAGAUUCUGUUAAUUCGAGAAGUAAAGGGAUGCGGUGCUGUGCUACUAUCCUAUGAUGCUGCUGACAAAUCAUCCGAAAAGAUUGGAUUGAUCACCAGUUGACAUGCCGUCAAACUCCAGACCAGCAUUGUGCUUCUGUUGUCAGGUAACUUAGGUUCCGGUGCUCCUUUUGUUCCAUACUAGACGCUGCCGCUGAGGGAUGUUCGUGUAUAGUGUUAUCUGUUCCUGCUGAUGAUUUUACAGUAGCAGCCAAGCAUCCGGCAACAUGAAGAUUUAAGAAAUUAAAUCAUACUAUACAAUGAAAAAUUUAGAGCACGAAUUCAAAUAAAAUAGAUAUUUAACUUUAUAUUUAUUUAUAUAACCAAUCCAGUGGCGUAGCCAGGGGGGUGGUUUUGGGCAUAAAACCCCCCCCAGAGACAAAAUUUUCAGAAGAAAUUUUUUUUUCGAAAAAAAAAAUGUUCGGAAAACCCCCCCCAGACCAAUUUUCUGGCUACGCCACUGAACCAAUCAAAUAUUUUGCUUUAUAGUUAUUUAUAUUAU